rnacentral:rRNA from 1 species
CGGUUGAUCCUGCCGGACCCUACUGCUAUCGGGAUAGGACUAAGACAUGUUAGUCGUGCGCUUCCCAAGCUAUUAUGGUUGGAGAAACGCGGCAGACGGCUCAGUAACAUGUGGCUAACCUGCCCUUAGGACAGGGACAACCCCGGGAAACUGGGGCUAAUCCCUGAUAGGCGUGGACUCCUGGAAUGGAUCCACGCCCAAAAGACGUCUAAAUCAUGCUUUAGACGUCGCCUAAGGAUGGAGCCGCAGCCGAUCAGGUUGUUGGUGAGGUAACGGCUCACCAAGCCUAUAACCGGUACGGGCCGCGAGAGCGGUAGCCCGGAGAUGGACACUGAGACAAGGGUCCAGGCCCUACGGGGCGCAGCAGUCGCGAAAACUCCACAAUGCGCGAAAGCGCGAUGGGGCUAUCCCGAGUGCCAUCCGCUGAGGAUGGCUUUUCCCCAGUGUAAGGAGCUGGAGGAAUAAGGAGAGGGCAAGUCUGGUGUCAGCCGCCGCGGUAAUACCAGCUCUCCGAGUGGUAGGGACGUUUAUUGGGCCUAAAGCGUCCGUAGCCGGCCCAGCAAGUCCCCCGUUAAAUCCAACGAUUCAAUCGUUGGACUGCGGGGGAUACUGCUGGGCUAGGGGGCGGGAGAGGCCGACGGUAUUCCCGGAGUAGGGGUGAAAUCCUAUAAUUCCGGGAAGACCACCAGUGGCGAAGGCUGUCGGCUAGAACGCGCCCAACGGUGAGGGACGAAAGCUGGGGGAGCGAACCGGAUUAGAUACCCGGGUAGCCCCAGCUGUAAACGAUGCGGGCUAGGUGUUAGGGUGGCUACGAGCCACUCUAGUGCCGCAGCGAAGGCAUUAAGCCCGCCGCCUGGGAAGUACGGCCGCAAGGCUGAAACUUAAAGGAAUUGGCGGGGGAGCAC